rnacentral:rRNA from 1 species
UACGUAGGGUGCAAGCGUUGCCCGGAUUUAUUGGGCGUAAAGGGCGCGUAGGCGGCUCGGCACGUCCGUUGUGAAAUCGCCCGGCUCAACUGGGCGGGGUCAGCGGAUACGGUCGAGCUUGAGCAAGCUAGGGGGCAAUGGAAUUCCCGGUGUAGUGGUGGAAUGCGUAGAGAUGGGGGAGAACACUCGUGGCGAAGGCGGCCAGCUAGACCAGUUCUGACACUGAGGCGCGACAGCGUGGGGAGCAAACAGG